rnacentral:misc_RNA from 1 species
GAUGAAGAACGUAGCGAAAUGCGAUAAGUAGUGUGAAUUGCAGAAUUCAGUGAAUCAUCGAAUCUUUGAACGCACAUUGCGCCCCUUGGUAUUCCAUGGGGCAUGCCUGUUCGAGCGUCAUUUGUACCUUCAAGCUCUGCUUGGUGUUGGGUGUUUGUCUCGCCUCUGCGUAUAGACUCGCCUCAAAACAAUUGGCAGGCGGCGUAUUGAUUUCGGAGCGCAGUACAUCUCGCGCUUUGCACUCAUAACGACGACGUCCAAAAGUACAUUUUUACACUCUUGACCUCGGAUCAGGUAGGGAUACCCGCUGAACUUAAGCAUAUCAAUAAGCGGAGGA